GACAGAGGGUGCAAACGUUGCUCGGAAUUACUGGGCGUAAAGCGCACGUAGGCGGGUCGUAAGUCAGGGGUGAAAUCCCGGAGCUCAACUCCGGAACUGCCUUUGAUACUGGCGACCUUGAGGCUGGAAGAGGUUAGUGGAAUUCCCAGUGUAGAGGUGAAAUUCGUAGAUAUUGGGAAGAACACCAGUGGCGAAGGCGGCUAACUGGUCCAGAUCUGGACGCUGAGG
rnacentral:rRNA from 1 species